rnacentral:misc_RNA from 1 species
AACGCACGAGACCUGCGGACCUGCGGAAGGAUCAUUAAUGAGAAGCUGCCCCUCGUGGGUGGACCUCCCACCCUCUGUGAACUUACCUUUGUUGCUUUGGCAGGCCCGUCCUCUGGACCGCCGGCUUCGGCUGGCCCGUGCCUGCCAGAGGAUUCCAAACCCUGUCUGUCAGUGUUGUCUGAGUCUAUAUGAAAUCGUUAAAACUUUCAACAACGGAUCUCUAGAUCGGAAGAGCACACG